UACGUAGGGGCCUAGCGUUGUCCGGAAUUAUUGGGCGUAAAGAGCUCGUAGGCGGUUCGGCAAGUCGGAUGUGAAAUCUCCACGCUUAACGUGGAGGGGCCAUUCGAAACUGCUGUGACUGGAGUCCGGUAGGGGAGUGUGGAAUUCCCGGUGUAGGAGUGAAAUCCGUAGAUAUCAAGAGGAACAUCGGAGGCGAAGGCGGCCAACUGGGGAUGCAUUGACACUGAGGUGCGAAAGCGUGGGGAGCAAACAGG
rnacentral:rRNA from 1 species